CAAUCUAUUGGCCUUUUGUGUGGCGAGCAGUACCAGCUUGGACUUGGUGACGAAUUGUGGUGCAGCCGGCCGGGGGCCUUGCUGCUCGUGGCUCCCGGUCCGCUUUGGGGAAUUUCCGGGUAAGGCCCUGGCAGCUGCCGGGACCACUUGUCCGGAGGGUCUUCCCUUCAGAAUUCCGCAAAACGGCCGUGGCUGCCCCCCGUGCUUGGCAGCUGGAGCAAGGAAUCGACGUUUGGGAGCUGAUGGGCUACAGUAGGGACUUCUGAAUGUGCUUCUGGACAUCCAUACAGUACUUGAGACCAGAAUUUCAUAACCAUAGAGCUCUGGUACAGUAGUCUCAUCUGUUUCGCCAUUAAUGAGGCUGGAAGGAGGUGACCAGAAGGAUGUAACCAGUUGUAAAGAACAAAGAGAAGUGGACUGCCAUUAAGAACCUAGCAACUUUGGUUAGUGGCAUCAGAGGCUUCAGGUUUUAACAGCAGCAUGAUUAUUCCUGGCUAAAAAAUUUCCUCAGAGCCUAGAGAGCAGCAGGACAAAGAAGACCUC